CUGAUUUGAUCAUUGUUGACAUGUGUAACAUGCUGAUUUUAUUCGUCAUCUUGUUCAUAGGUCAAAAUACCUAUCUAUCGGUUUGAGGGGAAGGAGCCCCAUGAAGAGUGUAUCUUGUAUGACAUCAUUAAAGAGAUCCUUGUUGCCCGUUGGACCAAAAGCAAUACCCCCUGCAUUGUUUGGCUCACUCACUCAAUCCAAGGUACUAUAUUGCUAGUUGGAUUAACGAAGUCCCUGGCCGUAUCAGCCCCAAUGAUGAUAGUGAAGUUACUGAAAUGAGGAACAAAUGCUUUCGAAAGUUCUAUCCAGAUCAAGAAGAUUUCAAGACUAUCAAGAAAGAAUUUGCUGAUUUUGCUCUUUUCAUGAAUGCCUUUGAAAAUCCAGAUUCUAUUGAAGAUAGAGCUGACUUUGAACCUAAGCAAUGGUGGGGCACUCAUGGAGUAAGCACAAGGCUGUUAAAUUUUUUAGCCUUGAAGGUACUUGGGCAGCCAACAUCUUUCUCUUGUUGUGAGAGGAACUAGAGUACGUACGGCUUCAUCCAUAGCGCUGCAAGAAACAAGCUUACUCCUGCUAGAGCUGCUGAUUUGGUGUUCACACACAACAACCACCGCUUGCUUUCAAGGAAUUCUCAAGCAUAUCUAACUAGGCCAAGCAAAAUGUGGGACAUUGGGGGAGAUGGAGUAGAAAGUUUUGGUGGUGUGGGCAUGCUUGAAGGUGCAGAUCUUUCACUUGAUGAACCAGCUUUGGAGGAGGAGAUAAUAGAUUCUCUCACUUGAGUCUCUUUAUCCAUCAAGCUUUAGCCUUCAGCCAUCAGCCUAGCUGCCUAUGAGCUUAUUUAAUUUAUGUUCCUACCAUUUAUGUAAUGCACUCUUAAAUUUUUAGACUAAGGCCAUUUGAACUAUCUGUUAUGUGGCCACCUGAGCCUU